UCUGGCUCAGGACGAACGCUGGCGGCGUGCUUAACACAUGCAAGUCGAGCSGUAAGGCCUUUCGGGGUACACGAGCGGCGAACGGGUGAGUAACACGUGGGUGAUCUGCCCUGCACUUCGGGAUAAGCCUGGGAAACUGGGUCUAAUACCGGAUAUGACCUCCUAUCGCAUGGUGGGUGGUGGAAAGAUUUAUCGGUGCAGGAUGGGCCCGCGGCCUAUCAGCUUGUUGGUGGGGUAAUGGCCUACCAAGGCGACGACGGGUAGCCGACCUGAGAGGGUGACCGGCCACACUGGGACUGAGACACGGCCCAGACUCCUACGGGAGGCAGCAGUGGGGAAUAUUGCACAAUGGGCGAAAGCCUGAUGCAGCGACGCCGCGUGAGGGAUGACGGCCUUCGGGUUGUAAACCUCUUUCAGCAGGGACGAAGCGCAAGUGACGGUACCUGCAGAAGAAGCACCGGCUAACUACGUGCCAGCAGCCGCGGUAAUACGUAGGGUGCAAGCGUUGUCCGGAAUUACUGGGCGUAAAGAGUUCGUAGGCGGUUUGUCGCGUCGUUUGUGAAAACCAGCAGCUCAACUGCUGGCUUGCAGGCGAUACGGGCAGACUUGAGUACUGCAGGGGAGACUGGAAUUCCUGGUGUAGCGGUGAAAUGCGCAGAUAUCAGGAGGAACACCGGUGGCGAAGGCGGGUCUCUGGGCAGUAACUGACGCUGAGGAACGAAAGCGUGGGUAGCGAACAGGAUUAGAUACCCUGGUAGUCCACGCCGUAAACGGUGGGCGCUAGGUGUGGGUUCCUUCCACGGAAUCCGUGCCGUAGCUAACGCAUUAAGCG
rnacentral:rRNA from 1 species